rnacentral:rRNA from 1 species
CCUACGGGAGGCUGCAGUGGGGAAUAUUGGACAAUGGGCGCAAGCCUGAUCCAGCCAUGCCGCGUGGAUGAUGAAGGCCCUAGGGUUGUAAAGUCCUUUCGACGGGGAAGCGGUACCCGUAGAAGAAGCCCCGGCUAACUUCGUGCCAGCAGCCGCGGUAAUACGAAGGGGGCUAGCGUUGCUCGGAAUCACUGGGCGUAAAGCGCACGUAGGCGGCUUUUUAAGUCAGAGGUGAAAUCCUGGAGCUCAACUCCAGAACUGCCUUUGAUACUGAGAGGCUUGAGUCCGGGAGAGGUGAGUGGAACUGCGAGUGUAGAGGUGAAAUUCGUAGAUAUUCGCAAGAACACCAGUGGCGAAGGCGGCUCACUGGCCCGGACUGACGCUGAGGUGCGAAAGCGUGGGGAGCAAACAGGAUUAAUACCCUUGUAGUC